AUUGAACGCUGGCGGCAGGCCUAACACAUGCAAGUCGACCGGAUGAAGAGAGCUUGCUCUCUGAUUCAGCGGCGGACGGGUGAGUAAUGCCUAGGAAUCUGCCUGGUAGUGGGGGACAACGUUUCGAAAGGAACGCUAAUACCGCAUACGCCCUACGGGAGAAAGUGAGGGAUCUUCGGACCUCACGCUAUCAGAUGAGCCUAGGUACGAUUAGCUAGUUGGUGAGGUAAAGGCUCACCAAGGCGACGAUCGUUAACUGGUCUGAGAGGAUGAUGAGUCGCACUGGAACUGAGAGAAGGUCCAGACUCCUACGGGAGGCAUCAGUGGGGAAUAUUGGACAAUGGGCGAAAGCCUGAUCCAGCCAUGCCGCGUGUGUGAAGGAGGUCUUCGGAUUGUAAAGCACUUUAAGUUGGGAGGAAGGGCAGUAAGUUAAUACCUUGCUGUUUUGGCGUUACCGACAGAAUAAGCACCGGCUAACUUCGUGCCAGCCGCCGCGGUAAAAC
rnacentral:rRNA from 1 species